AGGACCCUCAUGCUGCCCCUGACCGAGGGCUCGCUGCGGCUGCGGGCGGACGAUGAGGACAGCCUGACCUCAGAGGAUUCCUUCUUCUCCGCCACCGAGCUCUUUGAGUCCCUGCAGACCGGAGAUUACCCGAUCCCACUCUCCAGACCUGCCGCUGCCUAUGAGGAGGCCCUGCAGCUGGUGAAGGAGGGGAGAGUGCCCUGCCGGACCCUCAGGUGCCACCUGACCCCCCGGGGCAUCGCUGGGCAGGGACCAGGUUGUGUGACGCCGUCUGUCCUCCCCUCAGGACGGAGCUGCUGGGCUGCUACAGUGACCAGGACUUUCUGGCCAAGCUGCACUGUGUGCGGCAGGCCUUCGAGGGGCUUCUGGAAGACAAGAGUAACCAGCUUUUCUUCGGGAAAGUAGGCCGACAGAUGGUGACAGGCCUGAUGACCAAGGCUGAGAA
rnacentral:sRNA from 1 species